AAACUUUUAUCAUCCUAGGAAAAUUUUCUGAGUAGUUUUGAGAACAUGUGUAAGCUUGAAUUGGAGCAUUUAAAAAUAUUUAAAAGGAAAUGACAUGUUUAGUAUUAAAUUGAGCUAAUUGACUGAAGAGCAAGCAUGGUCAGUUAAAACAUUUUGAGUUUCAUAAACACAAUAUGAAAAGUGCAUAUGUGAUAUGAAUUAUUUUCAUGGUUUGCAUCUAUCUCCCCUUAUUAGAGAACAUUGGUUACACAAUAUCCUCCUUGCAGCUCAUAUAAACUAUGUCUUUGGCGAUAAUGUACAUGUUACUUUAACCUCCAAAUGGCCAGAUUUUGUAAUAACGGAGACCUUUCUCACCUGGAUGAUGAGUACAAAGUGUUCAUAGUGAAAGUGUCACCAUUAGGUUUAAAAUUUCUUGAAGAAGAUGAUGCUAAGUGGUACUGCUCCCUGUGGAUCUUUUCCAUAUAUCCUCCGGUACAAGUAAUCUUGAACUAUCUCCAUAGCCACAGACAUUUGCAUUUUCACCAUUUGUUACAUUUGCCAAAUGUAUCAUCAUCACCUUAUUCACUUUAUUCACCAUCACCAAAUUCAUCAUCACCUUAUUCAGCCCAAUGA
ensembl:lincRNA